GAUGAACGCUGGCGGCGUGCUUAACACAUGCAAGUCGAACGGGAAAUAUUUCAUUGAGACUUCGGUGGAUUUGAUCUAUUUCUAGUGGCGGACGGGUGAGUAACGCGUGGGUAACCUGCCUUAUACAGGGGGAUAACAGUCAGAAAUGGCUGCUAAUACCGCAUAAGCGCACAGAGCUGCAUGGCUCAGUGUGAAAAACUCCGGUGGUAUAAGAUGGACCCGCGUUGGAUUAGCUUGUUGGUGGGGUAACGGCCCACCAAGGCGACGAUCCAUAGCCGACCUGAGAGGGUGACCGGCCACAUUGGGACUGAGACACGGCCCAGACUCCUACGGGAGGCAGCAGUGGGGAAUAUUGCACAAUGAGGGAAACCCUGAUGCAGCGACGCCGCGUGAAGGAAGAAGUAUCUCGGUAUGUAAACUUCUAUCAGCAGGGAAGAUAGUGACGGUACCUGACUAAGAAGCCCCGGCUAACUACGUGCCAGCAGCCGCGGUAAUACGUAGGGGGCAAGCGUUAUCCGGAUUUACUGGGUGUAAAGGGAGCGUAGACGGUGUGGCAAGUCUGAUGUGAAAGGCAUGGGCUCAACCUGUGGACUGCAUUGGAAACUGUCAUACUUGAGUGCCGGAGGGGUAAGCGGAAUUCCUAGUGUAGCGGUGAAAUGCGUAGAUAUUAGGAGGAACACCAGUGGCGAAGGCGGCU
rnacentral:rRNA from 1 species